UACGUAGGGGCGAGCGUUAUCCGGAAUUAUUGGGCGUAAAGAGUGCGUAGGUGGUUACCUAAGCGCAAGGUUUAAGCUUGAGGCUCAACCUCAUUUUGCCUUGCGAACUGGGCUACUUGAGUGCAUGAGGGGAAAGCGGAAUUCCUAGUGUAGCGGUGAAAUGCGUAGAUAUUAGGAAGAACACCAGUGGCGAAGGCGGCCUUCUGGACUGUAACUGACACUGAGGCACGAAAGCGUUGGGAGCAAACAGGAUUAGAUACCCUGGUAGUCCCU
rnacentral:rRNA from 1 species